ACCGAAAUAGCUCAGUUGAUAGAGAGUUAGACUAUAGAUCAAAAGGUCUCUGGUUCGAUCCCGGGAAUCGGCA
rnacentral:tRNA from 1 species